rnacentral:misc_RNA from 1 species
CCGAGCCACAUCGCUCAGA